GGCGAACGGGUGAGUAACACGUGAGUAACCUGCCCUUUACUUUGGGAUAACUACCAGAAAUGGUGGCUAAUACCGGAUAUGACUCCUGCCUGCAUGGGUGGGGGUGGAAAGCUCCGGCGGUGGGGGAUGGACUCGCGGCCUAUCAGCUUGUUGGUGAGGUAGUGGCUCACCAAGGCUUCGACGGGUAGCCGGCCUGAGAGGGUGACCGGCCACAUUGGGACUGAGAUACGGCCCAGACUCCUACGGGAGGCAGCAGUGGGGAAAAUCGCGCAAUGGGCGGAAGCCUGACGCAGCAACGCCGCGUGCGGGAUGACGGCCUUCGGGUUGUAAACCGCUUUCAGCAGGGACGAAGCUUUUGUGACGGUACCUGCAGAAGAAGCACCGGCCAACUACGUGCCAGCAGCCGCGGUGAUACGUAGGGUGCAAGCGUUGUCCGGAACUAUUGGGCGUAAAGAGCUUGUAGGCGGUUUGUCACGUCGAAAGUGAAAACUCGGGCCUUAAUCCUGAGCUUGCUUUCGAUACGGGCUGACUAGAGGAAUGUAGGGGAGAAUGGAAUUCCUGGUGGAGCGGUGGAAUGCGCAGAUAUCAGGAGGAACACCAGUGGCGAAGGCGGUUCUCUGGACAUUUCCUGACGCUGAGAAGCGAAAGCGUGGGGAGCAAACAGGCUUAGAUACCCUGGUAGUCCACGCCGUAAACGGUGGGCACUAGGUGUGGGUCACAUUCCACGUGAUCCGUGCCGUAGCUAACGCAUUAAGUGCCCCGCCUGGGGCGUACGGGCCGCAAGGCUAAAACUCAAAGGAAUUUG
rnacentral:rRNA from 1 species